rnacentral:rRNA from 1 species
AUACGGAGGGUGCAAGCGUUGUUCGGAAUUAUUGGGCGUAAAGCGCGUGUAGGCGGUUUCUUAAGUCUGAUGUGAAAGCCCCGGGCUCAACCUGGGAAGUGCAUUGGAAACUGGGGGACUUGAGUACGGGAGAGGGUAGUGGAAUUCCUAGUGUAGGAGUGAAAUCCGUAGAUAUCGGGAAGAACACCGGUGGCGAAGGCGGCUCUCUGGACCGUGAUUGACGCUGAGACGCGAAAGCGUGGGGAGC